rnacentral:rRNA from 1 species
UAAAGAUUUUAAGGGCGUACGGUGGAUGCCUUGGCGAUAUCAGCCGAAGAAGGACGCGGUAAGCUGCGAUAAGCUACGGAGAGGUGCAAGCAACCUUUGACCCGUAGAUUUCCGAAUGGGGGAACCCGGCAGUGGUUAUGCACUGUCACCCAUAGCUUAGACUAUGAGGAGGGCACCCGGGGAACUGAAACAUCUAAUUACCCGGAGGAACAGUAAUCAAACGAGAUUUUCUUAGUAGCGGCGAGCGAACGGGAAAGAGGCCAAACCGGAGCGGGCAACCGCACCGGGGUUGAGGACAGUCAUCAAGUGUAAAUGAGGUAGAAGAAUCGAGCUGGAAAGCUCAGCCGCAGAAGGUGAAAGCCCUGUAAUCGAAACCUUGCAUACAUGGGACUGUAUCCAGAGUACCACGAGACACGUGAAACCUUGUGGGAAGCAGGGGGGACCACCCUCCAAGCCAAAAUACUGAUAUCGACCGAUAGCGCAUAGUACCGUGAGGGAAAGGUGAAAAGAACCCCUGGCGGGGAGUGAAAGAGAACCUGAAACCGUAUGUCUACAAACAGUCGAAGUCUGUAUAUAUAUCAGGACGACGGCGUGCCUAUUGAAGAAUGAACCGACGAGUUACUGUUGCUAGCGAGGUUAAGUGGAAAACACGGAGCCGCAGCGAAAGCGAGUCUGAACAGGGCGUUCAGUUAGUAAUAGUAGACCCGAAACCGUAGUGAUCUAUCCAUGGCCAGGUUGAAGCACAGGUAAAAUUGUGUGGAGGACCGAACUCGUGAGCGUUGAAAAGCUUUGGGAUGAGUUGUGGAUAGGGGUGAAAUGCCAAUCGAACACGGAGAUAGCUGGUUCUCCCCGAAAUAGCUUUAGGGCUAGCCUCGAGGUUGAGAGUAUAGGCGGUAGAGCACUGAUCGGGCUAGGGGCCAUACCGGUUACCGAACCUAGUCAAACUACGAAUGGCUAUACUUAUACUCGGGAGUCAGACAGUGAAUGAUAAGGUCCAUUGUCAAGAGGGAAACAGCCCAGAACACCGACUAAGGUCCCAAAUGUUACACUAAGUGGCGAAGGAUGUGGAAUUUCCAAAACAACCAGGAUGUUGGCUUAGAAGCAGCCACCAUUUAAAGAGUGCGUAAUAGCUCACUGGUCGAGAGACUCUGCGCCGAAAAUGUCCGGGGCUAAAGUGUAAAACCGAAGUCGUGUCAUAUGCAGCAAUGUAUAUGGGUAGGGGAGCGUUCUCAUCGGGCUGAAGCAGUACCGUAAGGAGUUGUGGACUGAUGAGAAGUGAGAAUGUCGGUAUGAGUAGCGAAAAGAAUGGUGAGAAUCCAUUCCACCGAAAGCCUAAGGGUUCCUGAGCAACGAUCGUCGUCUCAGGGUAAGUCGGGACCUAAGCCGAGGCGGAAAAGCGUAGGCGAUGGACAACAGGUUGAAAUUCCUGUACCGGUGUGAAUCGUUUGAUCGAUGGAGUGACACAGUAAGGUAGGUCAGCACGCGAUUGGAAGUGCGUGUUUAAGCAUGUAGGUUGAGUUAUAGGCAAAUCCGUAACUCUAAAAGCUGAGAUGUGAUGACGAGUUACUAGCGAUAGUAACGAAGUGAUUGAUCCUACACUGUCGAGAAAAGCUUCUAGGUAGAGACACAUCGCCCGUACCAAAACCGACACAGGUAGGCGGGGAGAGAAUCCUAAGGUGCGCGGGAAAACCCUCGUUAAGGAACUCGGCAAAAUGCCUCCGUAACUUCGGGAAAAGGAGGACUCAUGUAGUGUGAAGUGCAGCAACGCAUGGAGCAUGAAUGAGUGGCACAAGAGAGGCGCAAGCGACUGUUUACCACAAACACAGGUGCCUGCUAAAGCGAAAGCUGAUGUAUAGGUGCUGACACCUGCCCGGUGCUGGAAGGUUAAGAGGAGGGGUUAGACUUUGGUCGAAGCUCUGAAUUGAAGCCCCAGUAAACGGCGGCCGUAACUAUAACGGUCCUAAGGUAGCGAAAUUCCUUGUCGGGUAAGUUCCGACCCGCACGAAAGGUGUAACGACUUGCGCACUGUCUCAACGAGGGACCCGGUGAAAUUGAAGUACCUGUGAAGAUGCAGGUUACCCGCGACUGGACAGAAAGACCCCAUGGAGCUUUACUGCAACCUAAGAUUGAACUUAGUUAAUGAAUGUACAGGAUAGGUGGGAGACGUAGAAUCUAGGACGCCAGUUUUAGAGGAGUCACUGUUGGGAUACCACCCUUUCAUUAAUUGAUUUCUAACGGGCCGAGUAACGACCGGCCGGACAGUCUUAGGCGGGCAGUUUGACUGGGGCGGUCGCCUCCUAAAGAGUAACGGAGGCGCCCAAAGGU